rnacentral:rRNA from 1 species
AUACGGAGGGUGCAAGCGUUACUCGGAAUCACUAGGCGUAAAGGGUGCGUAGGCGGAUAAUCAAGUCAAAAGUGAAAUCCCACGGCUUAACCGUGGAACUGCUUUCGAAACUGGUUAUCUAGAAUAUGGAAGAGGCAGAUGGAAUUAGUGGUGUAGGGGUAAAAUCCGUAGAGAUCACUAGGAAUACCGAUUGCGAAGGCGAUCUGCUGGGACAUUAUUGACGCUGAGGCAUGAAAGCGUGGGGAGCAAACAGGAUUAGAUACCCUAGUAGUCC